CUGGAUUUCUUCUAGGGAGAGGAGAGGAGGAAGGCAGGUCCAGGCAGAGGGUACAGCCUGUGGCCGGAAAAGUCUCAGCUUUUUUUCCAAGGGGCAGCCAACUUUUGGGGGAAGAUGUACAGAAGGAGAAACAGCAGCCCAACGCCAGUGGUGCCAGAAUGAUAAGAACUGAGGCUUCUCAAGCUCUUACCGCCUCCCAGCCCCACAGUGAACACUUCCUGCCAUCCUGUCACUGAAUGCCCAUCCUGACCCCAAAGGGAGAUGGGCACAGGGCUGACCUGGCCACCUGAAGGAGAAAUGGGAAAUCAGCCGGAAUCAUCCAGAAGAUGCCCACACCCUCUACAUAGCAUUUCUGGGGAGUCGGGACAGCCCAGAAUUAAACCAUGGCUCCAGAAAUGUGACCUUCAUCCGGCUAACCCUGCG
rnacentral:lncRNA from 1 species